UUGGGUUUUAGCAUUGGUGCAUGGGAAUACACUACAGUAGAUUGAGUGCAUUAAAAUUAUAGAUUGAAAUUGCAUUUAUGUUCAUCUUCAGCUCAGCUCUGCUCUGGUGGAGUUGAGAAAUCUGGGGCAAUCCAGGCCUUGUUCAUUUUUAUCUGAGUCAACCUGUCAGCAU